AGGCAGAGCCCGCCGCCGGGUCCUCCUUCCUGCUCGUGCCACCAGGCCCCGGGGCCGCGACGCGUCUCUCCAGCCCGGGAUCCGGGGAGCUGGGCUGUCCCCAGACCGACGGGACAGCGGCAUCUCCUCCACCUGAAAAGGAAAGAGGACCAGUUUGCAGGACUCCGAACUGGGCCCGCGAGAUCUCCACCUGCGCAAAACGAAAGGGCGGAUUCUCCUUGGACUCACGAGGCAACCGCUCCCCGGGGUGAGAACGGGGGACUCAUUCCUCCGGCACUGGGAGAAGACGAUUCUUUAGGAGGAGGACAGGGAAGCGAAUGCUACCCAGAUGUCUCAGUAUACUGGCUCGCGGCACAUCGGGCAAAUGAACCUAUCAGAUAACAACGGCAGAUCAGAUGCCUGAGCAUUCAGAAGCAACAGCUGUGGAGCCCCCGUGGGUUCAGAAGGCCUGGUUCCCGUCUCCAGAAGCCUGGCUCUCCUCCCUCCUGGGCCCACUACUUUGGCUUCUUGUUCCUACGUACAAGGAGUUGCGAAGAAGGCAACUCUUCCCCUCCCUGAAGCCAAAGGAAUGAAACAGACUAGGGCGGGAGAGGUGGCCAUCCGUCAUUAGUUGCGGCCAUCAGUAACAGCAACAGGACACGGAACCUAAGGCUGUAUCCAUCCUGGGCCCCCAGGGAAACAUCAGCGGGAGCGGUACUAAGGAAGUGCUCAUCUCUUAGAGACAAAGGCCCAUGGAGGGGAACAGUAACCAUCCCCUCCCAAUUCAGAAAAUGUUAACAUAAGCACUUCAUUUCUCAUGCAGAUAACCACAUAAGUCUAUUAAUAAGAAAGAAAGAGAAAGAAAAAAAAGAAAAAGGAAUCCAUGCCAGCAGGGUAUAGGAAUUGGUCUAUAGGAGAAAGGGUCACCCACUGAAAGGUGGGCUGAAUAGAAUUCCUUGCCUGGGCUUUGAGGUCCUGGCAUGGAGAAGGCUGUAGAAAUGCUGGCAUCAGUGGAACCCUCAAUAAACAGAAUUCUUGUUAAAGAA
rnacentral:lncRNA from 1 species